AUCGCUUCUUGGCCUUUUGGCCAAGAUCAAGGGUAGUAUCUAGUUUGAUCAGUUUGGCAUCUGAUACGUCCUCUAUCCAAGGACAACAAAUAAUGGAAUCUUGGAGCAGGAAAAUGGACUGGGGGCUCACUCCAUCGCAUCAACCACACAUCGACCCUGUUAUCGUAGUACUCCAGGAAUGGUGCUCUCCCU